UUCCUGUCGUGUAUUUGUAAGAAAGCAGUGAUAACAAAGAAAACAAUAAGAGGAAAUCACAUCAUCUAAAGAGAAAGAAACAUGUCAGGUAUUUGAGUACUACAGAAGGCAAAAUAAAUCAGAGUGCAAAAGGAAUGGUAGGAAUCAUAGACAAUAUUCUGGCUAGAAAAUAUAUGGAAAUGGAGAUGGGACAAAAUGCAGAAUGAAUUACUUUAAGGGCAGUGAAAUAAUUUUUAUGAAGAUUUGCUAUACUGGAUAAGAAUUAGACAUAAGACGGAGUCAGAAAUAGUGACAAAAGAAAGUGUAACAGAAAGCAAAAGGAACACUCUUGUGAAUAAAAACCAUGUUAGAAUACAGAACUAGGAAAAUAAAUGUAUGAAGUGAAUUACAUAUACAAUUAUGAAUUAUCAUAAAUAGACUUUAUAAUUUUCAUUCUAGAUCUGAUUUAGCAAGGUGUAGAUGCUUAA